rnacentral:lncRNA from 1 species
CGAGAAUCGUCGGUUCCAUAGUAUUUAUUUGUUGAUGAUCAGAAUUACCGAGUAUUGUGUGAACUGGUUGCAACUUGUUACUCUAAUUAUCACCGCUAAAAUUUAGUCUCCUAAGUUUUGCAAAUUGUUUUUUUACUUUCUUGAUGAUCAGUUUAGGAAAAUGUCAACUUGGUUAAAUCAAUGGAAGGAGACUAAUUUUAUGGCUGUUAUAAAAUGUGUGACCUACAAGGAAUACUUUAGCAUACCUUUCAGGGAUCAGGACAAGUUCUGGACUCCACAUUUCACAUAAGAUUAUUACACGAGAACUCUUGAAGAGUAGCCCACUACCAUAUCAUUUUAGCAGAAGAGUAAACAAACCAUAAAUAUGCAACAGAAAAGCAAGCAUGUACUUGUAACAAAUUCUUAGCAAAAAAAAUAAAUAAUAAUAACUCAUUUGCAUACUCAGCAAGCUAUGGCAACAGGUAUUGGUUGUAUAUUUGUUUAUCUACAAUUUGUUUUGGAUCUUUCUGUAAUUAGCAAUAAGGUGAUGAAGACAUGCACAAAAAAUAUGCUAAGUUACAAAUCGUUCAAACAAAAUACUUUUAUUGUUGAGAGCACCACGUUAAUCGAAUGCAAGAGUGGCCGAUGUAGGAAAGGAAUUCAUGAACUUGUUAAGAUCAAAUGGUGGUGGUCGGUGCAGAAAAAAUAAAAUAUCUAUUAUUAAAUUUUUUUUUUUUUUUAUGAGCUACUAAUUGAAUAUUUUUUUAAAUAAAUUGAAAUGUAAAAAAACUUAUCUGUAGCUU